CCUACGGGAGGCAGCAGUGAGGAAUAUUGGUCAAUGGACGAGAGUCUGAACCAGCCAAGUAGCGUGAAGGAUGACUGCCCUAUGGGUUGUAAACUUCUUUUAUAUGGGAAUAAAAUGUUCCACGUGUGGGAUUUUGUAUGUACCAUAUGAAUAAGGAUCGGCUAACUCCGUGCCAGCAGCCGCGGUAAUACGGAGGAUCCGAGCGUUAUCCGGAUUUAGUGGGUUUAAAGGGAGCGUAGGUGGAUUGUUAAGUCAGUUGUGAAAGUUUGCGGUGCAACCGUAAAAUUGCAGUUGAAACGGGCAGUCUUGAGUACAGUAGAGGUGGGCGGAAUGCGUGGUGUAGCGGUGAAAUGCUUAGAUAUCACGAAGAACUCCGAUUGCGAAGGCAGCUCACUGGACUGCAACUGACACUGAGGCUCGAAAGUGUGGGUAUCAAACAGGAUUAGAUACCCCGGUAGUC
rnacentral:rRNA from 1 species